UACAGAGGUCUCAAGCGUUGUUCGGAUUCAUUGGGCGUAAAGGGCGCGUAGGCGGCCUUCUAAGUCGGACGUGAAAUCCCUCGGCUUAACCGAGGAACUGCGUCCGAUACUGAAAGGCUUGAAUCCGGGAGAGGGAUGUGGAAUUCCAGGUGUAGCGGUGAAAUGCGUAGAUAUCUGGAGGAACACCGGUGGCGAAGGCGGCAUCCUGGACCGGUAUUGACGCUGAGGCGCGAAAGCUAGGGGAGCAAACGGG
rnacentral:rRNA from 1 species